rnacentral:lncRNA from 1 species
UAUUAUUUAAGCGUGUUUCCAGACCCCACGAUGAGGACGUGGUUCUACCUUGGGGUCCAUAUAUUUUUUUUUUUUUUUUUUUUUAAUUAUUUUUAGUCAUUAUAUAGUAAUAUGUACAUUCCUAUCUAACAUAAUAUUUAUACAUUUUGUACAUGGUGUUCCCAUUUUGAUAAGCAAACAUGUGAAACAUCAAAUGAGAUUAACGAGUCACGUGUCCCCUGUUUUAUUGCUACAAUAACAUCCAAUUAACACCUUCAACUUUGUACACGCGUCAGACUAUACAAUUGCACGCGCCAGAAUAUACAAUCAUUGUAAAUAAUGAACACCUGUUGAAAACUCAAGAUUGUCAUUAAUUUCCUUUCAUCUUCAAUCAAUAUGCAUAAACAUGAUAAAUAUCGUUUAAUGAGGCAAUAAACAAAUAAAAAGAUGAAAACAUUCACAUUUCAAUUUUCUUUUCCUCAUGUUUGAUUUCAGUUCUUUGUAUUUCACAAUUUGUGUCAAUAUUUUCAGGACAACAAUGCACAAAUAAUUCAUUUUGCGAGCUUAAUAUAUAUUGC